AAGUUACUAUAAACAAAAAUAAUUCCAGAAGAAUUGAAGAUCUAAAUGUAAAGGGAAACCUUUAAAACUAUUAGAAGAAAAUACAGAAAGGCAAAUGACC